UAGCAUGGAUGGUGAGCUAGGAAAGC
rnacentral:piRNA from 1 species